AGUGAACGCUGGCGGUAGGCCUAGCACAUGCAAGUCGAACGGCAGCACAGUAAGAGCUUGCUCUUACGGGUGGCGAGUGGCGGACGGGUGAGGAAUACAUCGGAAUCUACUUUUUCGUGGGGGAUAACGUAGGGAAACUUACGCUAAUACCGCAUACGACCUACGGGUGAAAGCAGGGGAUCUUCGGACCUUGCGCGAUUGAAUGAGCCGAUGUCGGAUUAGCUAGUUGGCGGGGUAAAGGCCCACCAAGGCGACGAUCCGUAGCUGGUCUGAGAGGAUGAUCGGCCACACUGGAGCUGAGACACGGUCCAGGCUCCUACGGGAGGCAGCAGUGGGGAAUAUUGGACAAUGGGCGCAAGCCUGAUCCAGCCAUACCGCGUGGGUGAAGAAGGCCUUCGGGUUGUAAAGCCCUUUUGUUGGGAAAGAAAAGCAGCAGGUUAAUACCCCGCUGUUCUGACGGUACCCAAAGAAUAAGCACCGGCUAACUUCGUG
rnacentral:rRNA from 1 species